AUUAUAUAUAUAGAUGAGAAAGCACAUAUCCCUCCCCAGCAAGAAGCUGUUUUCUUUUGGGGCCUACAAGUUAAGCUGACAGU